CACGUAGGGCGCGAGCGUUGUCCGGAAUUAUUGGGCGUAAAGAGCUCGUAGGCGGCCUGUUGCGUCCGCUGUGAAAGCCCGGGGCUUAACCCCGGGUCUGCAGUGGAUACGGGCAGGCUAGAGGUAGGUAGGGGAGAAUGGAAUUCCCGGUGUAGCGGUGAAAUGCGCAGAUAUCGGGAGGAACACCGGUGGCGAAGGCGGUUCUCUGGGCCUUACCUGACGCUGAGGAGCGAAAGCGUGGGGAUCAAACAGG
rnacentral:rRNA from 1 species